rnacentral:rRNA from 1 species
GUAGGGAAUAUUGCGCAAUGGACGAAAGUCUGACGCAGCGACGCCGCGUGAGUGAUGAAGGCCUUAGGGUCGUAAAGCUCUGUUGAAUGGGAAGAAAAAAAUGACGGUACCAUUCGAGGAAGGACCGGCAAACUUCGUGCCAGCAGCCGCGGUAAUACGAGGGGUCCUAGCGUUGUUCGGAAUCAUUGGGCGUAAAGGGUGUGUAGGUGGCCAUGUAAGUCAGGUGUGAAAGCCCCGGGCUCAACCCGGGAAGUGCACUUGAUACUGCGUGGCUUGAGUACCGAAGAGGGUAGUGGAAUUCCAGGUGUAGUGGUGAAAUACGUAGAUAUCUGGAGGAACACCGGUGGCGAAGGCGGCUACCUGGUCGAGUACUGACACUGAGACACGAAAGCAUGGGGAUCAAACAGGAUUAGAAACCCCGGUAGUCC